rnacentral:SRP_RNA from 1 species
UGAGGCUGGUGGUGGGCAACGCGCCCGCAAACCCGGUCAGGUCCGAAAGGAAGCAGCCGUAGCGGGGUCGCGUUGGGUCGCCGCCAGUCAUCAUC